rnacentral:lncRNA from 1 species
UGUCUGAAAUAAUCUUUAUUGCUCAUAUUAAUUCCCCCUCAGGUCUCUUUGACUUGGUUAUCUGUUGAGAAAAAGUUCUGCAGCCCAACCUGGUAUUACCCCGGCAGCAAACAGUUAUAUUUCCAGAGAACCUGUUGCAACACGGAGUACAGAGACCGCUGUCACUUUGGACUCACCAGGUUAUACUUCCAGAGAACCUGUUGCAACACAGCGUACAGAGACCACUGUCACUUGGGAUUCACCAGGUUAUACUUCCAGAGAACCUGUUGCAACACAGCGUACAGAGACCACUGUCACUUG